ensembl:lncRNA
GUAGAACUUCUCAAUAAAAAUAUAAUCCUCGUAGAGGACACUUAAAUUGAGGUUUUUAAAAAACUUGCAGGACUUCACUGGUGGUCCAGUGGUUAAGAAUCUGCCUACCAAUGCAGGGGAUACAGGUUCAAUUCCUGAUCCAGGAAGAUAUCACAUGCCACGGGGCAACUAAGCCCACACACCACAACUAGAGAGCAGCCCCAGCUUGCCACAUCUAGAGAAAAGCAACGAAGACCCAGCACAGCCAAAAAUAAACAAAACUGGAAAAAAAAUGCAAAUUGCCAGACUAUCAAUUAUUCCUUCUUAACUAACUAAAGAAAAAUUAGCUAAGGCUAAUUUGUAGGAACAAAACAGUGUAUUUCCUCUCUUAUCCAACUAAAAUGGUAGCAACCGAUAGCCACCUAUAUUUAAAAACAAUUGAAAAUGCUACAUUUUCCUACAUAACAUGCAUGCACCUCUCAUGAAACAAGCAACAACCAGUAACUAGCCCUUGCCCAAAUCUGUCCUUGAUCCUUUAAUACUGCACACACUGCCAACACUGUGCUAGGUCUAUACUGACUAGAUUUUACAGAAGGAAUGUUUACUGAUCAAGUAAUUUAAGAUUUAUUUAUACCAUAAAAGUUGUGGAGGAGACAAGUUUCUCACAUUAAAUUACAAUGAAUACUAAUUAAUCCCUGAAGAACAUUUUGACAUUAAGUGUAAAUGUAAAACUGUGCAGCUAAAAUAGUAUUUAGGAAAGUUUAACAGAAUACAGACAUCAGGAUAAGAACCAUGAAGGGUCAUAGUGACCCACAGAAGUCUGUGAGCUGCAGUUACCCUUCCAACAGGGCUAUCUUUCAGUCCUAACAGCUCUGAACAAGAGGCGUUCCAUGUAAAUCACCAUCUCUGUUGCAAAAACAAGUUAAAACACAUUCCUAGUCAGUAUGUCAGUAGCGUUCUCCAAAAACUGCCAUAUUUCUUUUAUAGUUUACCCAAACCACCAUACACAUUUGUGUUUUGCUACUACUCCCAGUGUUUGGGAGUCAAAAAACAUACCCUCUUCCUUCCUAAUUUUUGCUAAAAAGAUUUUAUCUUUCCUUUGAUAACACCAUCAUGCAGAGAAGCACAUACACAAAACUCUUAGCCAUACCUGACACUGCUUCAGAGCAAGUCUCCAACAGCAGAUAUUCUACCUGUUCACCAUAAAGUUCAAACUUCUGGUAUGUCUUCAGGUUCUCCCUGCUUAAUGCCAACAGACUUAGUAGACAAAGACUCACACAGUUCCUUGACACAUUGUUGACAUGCAGAUGUAAAUAACUGUAACAAUGACACCCCAGGAAAUGACUGAGCACUCUAUACAUCUUAUGACCCUCACUAAACAAGCACAGGGCAACCUGUUUAUCCUCCUCAGUAUUAACACAGUCAACACUAAGAGGAAGAGACCCUCCAGGACUUUUAUCCUGCUUAGAAUCAUCUCAGUUUGAACAUCCUAGCACUUUAGGAAAAGGAUUUUUAAAUUUGCCUCAUAGAAUUUACCCCAGACUCUUAGGAUAAGAAAACGUCUUAAGAAUCACACAGAAAUCCUAUAGAUAAUAUGCUAGCCAAUAAGGUCUUAGCCACAAGCUAAGACCAGUAGCUAGUCAGAAUUCAAAUGUACUGUAAAUGUAAAAUACACAUGAAAUUUCACAGACUCAGUAUGAAAGAAUGUAAAAUAUCUCAUUGUUAACUUUUAAAACAGAUCACUUGUNNNNNNNNNNNNNNNNNNNNNNNNNNNNNNNNNNNNNNNNNNNNNNNNNNNNNNNNNNNNNNNNNNNNNNNNNNNNNNNNNNNNNNNNNNNNNNNNNNNAUCACUUGUUGAAAUGAUACAUAAAUAAAACAGGUUGAAAUUGAUCCUAUUUCUUUUUUACUUUGGUAAUGUGACUAAAAAACUUAAAAUUGCUCAUGUACUAAUGCCUUGUAUUUCUAUUGGACAGUACUACUGUAGACUCACAGCCUUAAUUCUGACAACAAACUUUUACCACCUGACAUUUUCCAAUCGCAACGGUAAUAUAGAAGUCAAAAGAAAAGAAGCAUUUUGGCUUCUUUAUCAGUUAAAUUGAGAUAAUAAUAGAAAAAACUUUAAAAUAGUCAGUAGAAUCAUUUUGCCUGACACCAAAGAGAUAUUUUCAAAAAGGCAAAAAUAGUAUCAGAUGCAAAAACUAUACUUCUUAAGAAAAUAAGAUGGGGAAUAAACAACCAAGGUUUUUCUAAUAAAGUAGGUUUAAAUGCUGAUUAAAGGUUCAUCUUUAAAGUAACACGGACAUUUCUUUCAUUUCUAGUAACUGAGAUCUCAGAAAAAUAAAAUAUGUAAUAUUCUGUCUCUUGUGUUGUUUAAGCACCUACAACCUCAAACAAACCACUAUUAACACUAUAAAAGGGGAGAUACUUAUCAUAACCUAAUACUCUUUUCCAAAAUCAGAAGAGAAUAACACCACUCAAAAGCAAAAUUUAAANNNNNNNNNNNNNNNNNNNNGCUGAAUAUUAUGAAGAAACCAAAUUUUAAGAUGAGUAUUUUUAUCACAAUUUUUAAAAGCAUAUUUUAAAAGUGAGAAAUCGAACCAUUCACUGUGAGUGAACUAUUUCUUCUUUUACUGUAACACAUCUUUCAGCUUUGAUUUUAACAACAUUUAGACCUCCAGAGCUUGUGUAUUUCUAAAUCUACAGAAAUAUUUUUAUAAGGAGAGAGGGGACAGCUCAGNNNNNNNNNNNNNGGCAGGUCUGUUCACUCAGGUAUUCAGAGGGUGCGAGAAUAACAACUUCUAGAGAAUUGUCAAUGGCAAAAUCGCAUUUUAAAAAGAAUUUUUAAAAAUUAAGACCAAAGGGUCCCCAGGGCUCCACAACAGUUCUGAAGAUACUUUCUAUGCUGUCCUAACAAAUUUAUAAUCGGAAAAAGAUCACAGUUGGCCAUCAAUUCCUUCUCCAUUUGAUAUUCACCAGCUGAGUAAACCCUCAGACUUCUAUUUGCUAAGUGAUACAUUCCUUAGAAACCUUUUCCUUGUGCAUUUAAAAUGCCAAGGUCAAUUACGCGGCCAGUAAAGUAUGCAGAAAGGAUGGUGCAUAUUGUAAAAUAGGAAGUUGAAUGCCUGCAGCUUCCUGCCUUGGUAGAAAGAGUGAUGCUGGUAAAGCUCUUGAGUAUAAUCCUUAAACACUGAAAUCACUCUCAGAGAAUUGAGGCUUCUAACACUGCCUAAGAGGUUAAAAAGACUGCCAAAUUUUCCAUUAGGGCAUCCUAUUUUUAGAGUCUUUGGAAUCUCUCUUUUAAAUUGCAUUCCACAGUAAGAUGUGUUGGACUAAGUUUACAAAAGCAACAACAUAAGCAUUCUAAGACCUUAAUGCUUCCAAGCUUAGGAAGAAAUGCUAAGCUUUUACAUUUUUCUUUUUUAAAUCUUAACUUUACACCUUUAACAACACGCAAAUAAAAAUAAAAACAAAGGUAAAUAUUGGCCCAGAGAGAGGAAUGGAAGGGGAGGCACUAGGUGCUUCUUGACAGCCUAAGUGGUGAGGCGAGGGGGGGAACAGGUACGAAGGAAAAUACAAAUCACCCGCAGAGG